rnacentral:lncRNA from 1 species
GGAUGGAUUUUAUUAUUUUAUGCUCGUUCUAAAUUUAUUGUGGAUUUGGUGAAACCUGUUCUAUUCGGAUUGGGUCGAGUAGAAUAUUGGGUAAAGUAACGUGCCUCAUGGAGAAAUAUGGGCUCUCUUAGGAUGGGCCAAGAUUCGUAUUUGACAAAGUCAUUAGCCAGCAUCAGAACUAGUUUUUCUUAGAGUUGGGUCUCAUAUAUGCAAUCUGUGGACCAUACCAAC